GCCCGGGUGGUGGAAUGGUAGACACGAGGGACUUAAAAUCCCUUGCGCAUUGCGCGCGUGCGGGUUCAAGUCCCGCCCCGGGUA
rnacentral:tRNA from 1 species